rnacentral:rRNA from 1 species
CGACCCCAGGUCAGGCGGGACUACCCGCUGAGUUUAAGCAUAUAAAUAAGCGGAGGAGAAGAAACUUACGA